rnacentral:rRNA from 1 species
GACGAACGCUGGCGGCGUGCUUAACACAUGCAAGUCGAGCGGUAAGGCCCUUUCGGGGGUACACGAGCGGCGAACGGGUGAGUAACACGUGGGUGACCUGCCCUCAGCUCUGGGAUAAGCCUGGGAAACCGGGUCUAAUACCGGAUAUGACUCCAUGACGCAUGUUGUGGGGUGGAAAGCCUUGUGCGGCUGAGGAUGGGCCCGCGGCCUAUCAGCUUGUUGGUGGGGUGAUGGCCUACCAAGGCGACGACGGGUAGCCGGCCUGAGAGGGCGACCGGCCACACUGGGACUGAGACACGGCCCAGACUCCUACGGGAGGCAGCAGGUGGGGGAUAUUGCGCAAUGGGACGAAAGCCUGACGCAGCGACGCCGCGUGGGUGAUGAA